CUAGCGACAGAGUCUGGAGAAGACGCGCAGAAAUGGCACCUCGCAAGGGGAAAGAAAAGAAGGAAGAACAGGUCAUCAGCCUCGGCCCUCAGGUGGCUGAAGAAGAAAAUGUAUUUGGUGUGUGCCACAUCUUCGCAUCCUUCAACGACACUUUUGUGCACAUCACUGAUCUCUCUGGCAAGGAAACCAUCUGCCGUGUAACUUGUGGGAUGAAGGUGAAGGCUGACCGAGAUGAGUCCUCUCCAUAUGCUGCCAUGUUGGCUGCCUAGGAUGUAGACCAGAGAUGCAAGGAGCUGGGCAUCACUGCCCUCCACAUCAAACUCUGGGCCACAGGAGGAAAUAGGACCAAGACUCCUGGACCAGGGGCCCAGUCAGCGAUCAGAGCCCUCGCCCGCUCAGGGAUGAAGAUUGGGCGGACUGAGGAUGUUACCCACAUCCCCUCUGACAGCACCCGCAGGAAGGGAGGUCGCUGUGGUCACCAUCUGUGA